UGUCCUUACUGUCAGACUAGGCUACGACUAAGGACCGCUGUGGUAGAGACCAUAGUCUAGUGGAAAUAGAAACAGAAUCUUUGAGACUGAGGAGGUGUUAAAGUGCUUCAAGAAACUGAUGACAAUUAUUUAGGAUGUUCAUGAUAACGAAUCUUUUUAGCUAAAGAGGGGGAGGUCAAGCAUGCCUACCUGCCAAGUUCUCCAUACAAUAGGUCACUCAAGAAAUAGGAGCAAAGUAAAGGGCACCCUUUUUCCAUAUGUGAAGGCACUAAUACAAAUAAAAUAGAUGUUGGACCUGUCACAUUCCAAAA